ACGUAGGGGGCAAGCGUUGUCCGGAAUUACUGGGCGUAAAGGGUGCGUAGGCGGUAUGGUAAGUUAGAUGUGAAAUCCCCGGGCUUAACUCGGGAGUUGCAUUUAAAACUGUCAGACUAGAGUGCAGGAGAGGAAAGCGGAAUUCCUAGUGUGGCGGUGCAAUGCGUAUAUAUUAGGAGGAACACCAAUGGCGAAGGCGGCUUUCUGGGCUGUAUCUGACGCUGAUGCCCGAAAGCGUGGGGAUCGAACAG
rnacentral:rRNA from 1 species